GAUGAACGCUGGCGGUAUGCUUAACACAUGCAAGUCGAACGGACUCUUCGGAGUUAGUUGCGGACGGGUGAUUAACGCGUGAGAAUCUGGCUUUGGGUUCGGGACACCCACUGGAAACGGUGGCUAAUACCGGAUGUGCCGAGAGGUAAUAGAGAAAUUGCCUGAAGAUGAGCUCGCGUCUGAUUAGCUAGUUGGGGAGUUAAGUGCUCACCAAUGCAGCGAUCAGUAGCUGGUCUGAGAGGAUGACCCGCCACACUGGGACUGAGACACGGCCGAGACUCCUACGAGAGGGGGGUGUGGGAAAUUUCACGAAAUGCGCAAACGCCUGACAGCGAAGUACCGCGUGAGGGAAGAAGGCUCUUGGGUUGUAACCCUCUUUUCUUAGGGAAGAACAAAAUGACGGUGCCUAAGGAAUAAGCACCGGCUAACUACGUG
rnacentral:rRNA from 1 species